rnacentral:rRNA from 1 species
GGUAAUACGUAGGGUGCGAGCGUUGUCCGGAAUUAUUGGGCGUAAAGAGCUCGUAGGCGGCUAGUCACGUCGGGUGUGAAAACUCGGGGCUUAACCCCGAGCCUGCACUCGAUACGGGCUGGCUAGAGUGUUGCAGGGGAGACUGGAAUUCCUGGUGUAGCGGUGAAAUGCGCAGAUAUCAGGAGGAACACCGGUGGCGAAGGCGGGUCUCUGGGCAACUACUGACGCUGAGGAGCGAAAGCGUGGGGAGCGAACAGGAUUAGAUACCCUGGUAGUCCACGCCGUAAACUAUGAGUGCUAGCCGUUGGCCAGCUUGCUGGUCAGUGGCGCAGCUAACGCAUUAAGCACUCCGCCUGGGGAGUACGGUCGCAAGAUUAAAACUCAAAGGAAUUGACGGG